AGAGUUUGAUCCUGGCUCAGAUUGAACGCUGGCGGCAUGGCUAAAACAUGCAAGUCGAACGAUGAAAACCCCUUCGGGGGUAUAUGAAGUGGCGAAAGGACUAGGAAUACAUUCCUACGUGCCUCUAGGUCGAGGAUAGCCCUGGGAAACUGGGAGUAAUACUCGAUGAUGUCUCCGGACCAAAGCCUUCGGGCGCCAAGAGAGCGGGGAAUGUCCUAUCAGGUUGUUGGUGAGGUAACGGCUCACCAAGCCAAAGACGGGUAGCGGGUGUGAGAGCAUGAUCCGCAGUAUCGGGACUGAGACACUGCCCGGACUCCUACGGGAGGCUGCAGUAACGAAUAUUCCGCAAUGCGCGAAAGCGUGACGGAGCAAUGCCGCGUGUGGGAUGAAGCUUUUCGGAGUGUAAACCACUGUCAGGGUUUAGGAACACAAUGACCAGAUCCAAAGGAAGGGCCGGCUAACUUCGUGCCAGCAGCCGCGGUAAUACGAAGGGCCCGAGCGUUAAUCAGAAUCACUGGGCUUAAAGCGUGUGUAGGCGGACAUGAAGGCGCUUUGUGAAAUCCCUCGGCUCAACCGAGGAACUGCAGGGCGAACCAUGUGUCUUGAGACAGGUAGGGGUCGUCGGAACGGUAGGUGGAGUGGUGAAAUGCGUUGAUAUCUACCGGAACGCCGAAGGAGAAGUCAGGCGACUGGGCCUGUUCUGACGCUGAGACACGAAAGCGUGGGGAGCGAACGGGAUUAGAUACCCCGGUAGUCCACGCCAUAAACGAUGUGCACUAGGUUGGGGAGGUUUUGACGCCGUUCCCGGCCGAAGCAAAAGUGUUAAGUGCACCGCCUGGGAGUACGGUCGCAAGGCUAAAACUCAAAGGAAUUGACGGGAGCUCACACAAGCGGUGGAGCAUGUGGCUUAAUUCGAUGCAACGCGAAGAACCUUAUCCUGGGUUUGACAUGUAUGGAUUGACUCCCUGAAAGGGGAGCCACGCCCUUGUGGUGGAACAUACACAGGUGCUGCAUGGCUGUCGUCAGCUCGUGCUGUGAAGUGUCGGGUUAAGUCCCUUAACGAGCGCAACCCCUGUCGUUAGUUGCUAGCAGGUAAUGCUGAGGACUCUAGCGAGACUGCCGGUGUUAAACCGGACGAAGGUGGGGAUGACGUCAAGUCCGCAUGGCCUUUAUGCCCAGGGCUGCACACGUGCUACAAUGGCAGAUACAGAACGAUGCAAUGUCGCAAGGCGGAGCAAAUCGCAAAAGUCUGCCCCAGUUCGGAUUGGAGGCUGCAACUCGCCUCCAUGAAGUUGGAAUCGCUAGUAAUCGCGGAUCAGCUACGCCGCGGUGAAUACGUUCCUGAGCUUUGUACACACCGCCCGU
rnacentral:rRNA from 1 species